CAUCUUUUCCUAACCUUGUCAGGCCCUGGAGCUCCCUUUGCCCAUGCCAGUGACCAUCGCUCCUCAGAAUGUGCAGUGGAAGUUGCUGUGGACAGUGCUCCCUGGUCUCUGAGGCCCUCUUCGUCCUGGUCUGGCCAAGGACUUCCCAGAAAACUGUGCUUAGCUGUGGCGGGAGGCACGGCCGGUCACGCAGCCUUCCUCGCGCCCUGGAGUGGGCAGGCCUGCUUGUGUUGUGCAGCGGCAGAACCCUUCCUGACUUCCAGGCUUUUCCUGGGGUGCGGUAUCCCAUCGCAGCAUUUUCUCUGGUUACCCUCACGAGUUUCCUCCUGCAUUUGGUUCUUGAUCUCCAGGGCCAUCUCCCACGUCUUCCUUGGAAAGGGGCAUUGUCAUCCUUUUUGUACUUUGAUGAUUUUGAAAGAUUUCUCAUAGUAACUGUUAGGAAGUUGGCCUCAGAAGCAAAAAUUCUUCUUUUGUCUUGGCCCCUAUGAACAAGUGUUCUGCUCUCAGAUGAAGCAGGGAGGCUGCACUGGAGCUUGGUGGCCAGCAGGAGGGAAUCACCAGGGUGGUGAAGCCUGCGAGAUUUCUCCCCGGGUGUCUCUGAUGGGGCCACAUGGCGGAUUUCAUAAUCUACCGAUUCGUUUUUUUAAGCCUUUAUUGUUAACAUCAACUGUGUGCCACGCUCAGAGACCUGAAGUGAAAAGUGAGGAAGGCGUGCUCACAUUCCAGCACUCACCACCCGGCACCGGGCCCGCUGACUCAGCACGUGCCGUUUAGGUGGCUGUAAACAGCCAGUGAGAUUCUCGCCUCUGGUGGGCAGUGCGUGUCUGACAAAGGCAGUCGGGCGGAGAACAGUUCCUCCGCUGUGGUCCUCUGCCACUGUACCAGGCCCCCAAGAGCUGGGGGGAGCCCCAGGGAGCCUCAGCCUGUUGAGUGGGGGCAGCUGGUUUGUCCUCCGAGGUGGAAGAGGUGAUUUCUGAGGAGGCCAUGCUCCGCUUGGCUCGUUCACAGCAUUUCAGAGAGUCCGAAAGAGGAGAAAGACCUUGGCAAGGGGUGUGUCAGGGUGGGCCCAAGGACGCCGGUGGCCUCAUGUGGACUGACUUUCAUGAACAGAAACUCAGAAACAGUUGCUGCUGGGUUUUGGCUUCUCAGAUAAACAUUCUUUUUGUAGUUCGUUUGUUCAUCCCUCAUUUUGCUGUCUGACUUUGCCUUUGUUUUCCCUUCACUAUUACUGAUGACCAAGGAAACUGGAAGUUAAUUCCAGAGGCAGUGGGGUUGCUCCUGUUGUCUGUGCAGACUGGAGUUCCUCUGCCUCUGUCAGCAUCUCCUCUGUCCUUCCCCAGCCUUGGCAGGAGACCAGUAAUGACCUCUGUCCCCGUGUACCCCAGUGAUGGCCGCCGUCCCCGUGUACACCAGUGAUGGCCGCUGUCCCCGUGCACCCCAGUGAUGGCCGCCGUCCCCGUGUACACCAGUGAUGGCCGCUGUCCCCGUGCACCCCAGUGAUGGCUGCCAUCCCCGUGCACCCCAGUGAUGGCCGCCGUCCCCGUGUACCCCAGUGAUGGCCACCGUCGCCGUGCACACCAGUGAUGGCCGCCGUGCCCGUGCACCCCAGUGAUGGCCUCUGUCCCCCAUGCACUCCCAGACAGGCAAUGUCCCUGUGGGCCUGUCCCAGGCUCUGUUCUCAGCAGGCUGGGCUCAGCCCUGGUGCAGGGAGUGAGGAGGUGGGAGUAGUAGGGACCAGAAAAAGUGGCAGCUGUUGACAACUCUGCCAUCUCUUUCUGAAUGUAAUGGGAGGUCCUGUCUUUUCAGCUUGCAGGGAAGGAGGGUCCGAGGCAACUCCGCUGUUGCACAUUUAGGGACCCCUGAACUUAAAUGACAGAAUGCCCUGACCACUCUGGAAGGCACUGUGUUCAUGUUUGUGUGCUUGACUCUUGGUGCGUAAAAUGGCUGUUUGUGCAGGUCAUUAACUGUGAGAUUCAGACAGUAGGUGCACACGCCCCUGCAGAGAUUCCAGCAGGACUGAAAACCAGUAGAAAUAUAUCAGCACCUGGAUCUUGCCUCCUGAGUCAGUAAGGAUAUGCCACAGUCACGAAGGCAGUGGGAGUUCGAGGGAGGGAAGGGAAGGCGGCAGGCGGGGCGUGCCCUCCGGGGUGCCCGAACACACCUGCUGCAUCCACACGUCUUCAGAGCCCUCUCCCUGUGGGAGGCCUUUUUCAGGACAGCCUCGGUGAACUGGAAACGGAAUCCCAGCCCUUGGUGGCCCUGCAGUGACUUGGACCUUUCCGAGGUCACCCUGCCACUGUGUGCCCUUCAGUCCCUCCUGGCAGGUGGGGGCACAUCCCCCAGCCACUCCCAUUUCCUGACAUUGACACUUUGUAUAACUGGAAGCCUUCUGUGAAAUUUUAGUUUUCAAAGCAUUAUCUGGUGAUGGGCAACCCAGGGCAGCGAAUCAUUCAGAAUUUUCUUAUCUAGGCUAAUAAACAAUAAAAUCAAUAAGGACUUUGAAAGUAACUCCACUGGGUUCAGGAAACUGAGUGUGGCCGCCCUGUGGGGUGGUGUUUGGUGAGUGCUUCCCGGAGGUGAGUAGUUAAUUCACAGGAGUGACUAAUGGCAGCGUCCCACUCACUCCUCCUUCCGGGGUCAUGGUCUCAAGGGGUCACUCCAUGCACUGGGGAUGUCAGCUCAUUACAGAAUGAUAUAUUCGGGAAGUGUCUCAGUUCUGAGUGCGUUUGAGGGAAUUUGCACUUCCGUUCCCACACAGCCUUGCAUUGUGUGUGUUAGAGGCUGUGGGCCUUGGGCAGGAGGGGUGGGCGUUGGCACAUACCUCCCGUCUCUCCCAGCCUUCUCUGACUCUGACUUUCCCUCUUGAAGGCUACCGGCUCUCUGACCAGUUCCACGACAUCCUCAUUCGAAAGUUUGACAGGCAGGGGCGGGGGCAGAUCGCCUUCGACGACUUCAUCCAGGGCUGCAUCGUCCUGCAGAGGUUGACGGAUAUAUUCAGACGUUACGACACGGAUCAGGACGGCUGGAUUCAGGUGUCGUACGAACAGUACCUGUCCAUGGUCUUCAGUAUCGUAUGACCCUGGCCUCUCGUGAAGAGCAGCACAACAUGGAAAGAGCCAAAAUGUCACAGUUCCUAUCUGUGAGGGAAUGGAGCACAGGUGCAGUUAGAUGCUGUUCUUCCUUUAGAUUUUGUCACGUGGGGACCCAGCUGUACAUAUGUGGAUAAGCUGAUUAAUGGUUUUGCAACUGUAAUAGUAGCUGUAUCGUUCUAAUGCAGACAUUGGAUUUGGUGACUGUCUCAUUGUGCCAUGAGGUAAAUGUAAUGUUUCAGGCAUUCUGCUUGCAAAAAAAUCUAUCAUGUGCUUUUCUAGAUGUCUCUGGUUCUAUAGUGCAAAUGCUUUUAUUAGCCAAUAGGAAUUUUAAAAUAACAUGGAACUUACACAAAAGGCUUUUCAUGUGCCUUACUUUUUUAAAAAGGAGUUUAUUGUAUUCAUUGGAAUAUGUGACGUAAGCAAUAAAGGGAAUGUUAGACGUG
rnacentral:sRNA from 1 species